rnacentral:rRNA from 1 species
CCUACGGGAGGCAGCAGUGGGGGAUAUUGCACAAUGGGGGCAACCCUGAUGCAGCGACGCCGCGUGUGGGAAGACUGUCCUCUGGAUUGUAAACCACUGUCCCCAGGGACGAAGAUGACGGUACCUGGCGAUGAAGCUCCGGCUAACUAGGUGCCAGCAGCCUAGGUAAAACGUAGGGAGCGAGCGUUGUCCGGGAUUACUGGGUGUAAGGGGAGCGUAGGCGGGACUGCAAGUUGGGUUGAAAAUCUACCGCGUAAACCGGUAGCUGCACUCCAAACUGCAGUUCUUGAGUGAAGUAGAGGCAGGCGGAAUUCCUAGUGUAGCGGUGAAAUGCGUAGAGAUUAGGAGGAACACCAGUGGCGAAGGCGGCCUGCUGGGCUUUUACUGACGCUGAGGCUCGAAAGUGUGGGGAGCAAACAGGAUUAGAUACCCGAGUAGUC